rnacentral:rRNA from 1 species
UGCAGCAACGCCGCGUGAGGGAUGACGGCCUUCGGGUUGUAAACCUCUUUUAGUAGGGAAGAAGCGAAAGUGACGGUACCUGCAGAAAAAGCACCGGCUAACUACGUGCCAGCAGCCGCGGUAAUACGUAGGGUGCAAGCGUUGUCCGGAAUUAUUGGGCGUAAAGAGCUCGUAGGCGGUUUGUCGCGUCUGCUGUGAAAUCUGGGGGCUCAACCCCCAGCCUGCAGUGGGUACGGGCAGACUAGAGUGCGGUAGGGGAGAUUGGAAUUCCUGGUGUAGCGGUGGAAUGCGCAGAUAUCAGGAGGAACACCGAUGGCGAAGGCAGAUCUCUGGGCCGUAACUGACGCUGAGGAGCGAAAGCAUGGGGAGCGAACAGGAUUAGAUACCCUGGUAGUCCAUGCCGUAAACGUUGGGAACUAGAUGUGGGGGCCAUUCCACGGUCUCCGUGUCGCAGCUAACGCAUUAAGUUCCCCGCCUGGGGAGUACGGCCGCAAGGCUAAAACUCAAAGGAAUUGACGGGGGCCCGCACAAGCGGCGGAGCAUGCGGAUUAAUUCGAUGCAACGCGAAGAACCUUACCAAGGCUUGACAUAUACCGGAAACGUCCAGAGAUGGUCGCCCCGCAAGGU